CGCAUCUGUGCAUGCAGCAUAUCAAUAAGCGGAGGAAAAGAAACUAACAAGGAUUCCCUUAGUAACGGCGAGUGAAGCGGGAAGAGCUCAAAUUUGAAAUCUUCAAGGUUUUACCUUGACGAAUUGUAGUUUAAAGAAGUGUUUUCUGUUGAAGUUUUGGUAAAAGUUCUUUGGAAUAGGACAUCAUAGAGGGUGAGAAUCCCGUAUUUGACCAUUAUUUUCAGCUGUGUGAUACACUUUCAAAGAGUCGGAUUGUUUGGGAAUGCAGUCCAAAAUGGGUGGUAAAUUUCAUCUAAAGCUAAAUAUUGGCGAGAGACCGAUAGCGAACAAGUACCGUGAGGGAAAAAUGAAAAGAACUUUGAAAAGAGAGUUAAACAGUACGUGAAAUUGUCAAAAGGGAAGCGUUUGACACCAGUGUUGUUUUCUCGAAAAUCAAUUAAAAAGAGCUUGGAUUUUGUUGUGUAUUGACCUUAACAGCUUGCAUUUCAAUUUUCAUUGCUUUUUUUAACGCACUUUUCGUUUAACAAGUCAACAUCAGUUUCUUUUGUUGUAAAAAGGGUCAUUGGAAGGUGGCUUUCUUUCGGAGAAAGUGUUUAUAGCCUUUGACUCCUGCAAUCGGAGAGACUGAGGUCUGCAGCGUAGAUCCUUCGGGGUUAGAUACAUUUGUGCUAAGUUAUAGCUUUUUAUAGACAACUUGUUGACUAUGAUUAGUCUUGUAGCUUACUCGCUUAUGCUAUUUUACCUACGCUUAGGAUGUUGACGCGCGUGUGUGCGUG
rnacentral:rRNA from 1 species